GGAUACUCAUGAUUGGCUAUGGUUUGGAUUUGCAGAUGAGCAGAUGAAUAGAUUGAGUGUUAUUGAUAUCCAGUCGGAUGAUAGAAAGAAUUAAAUUUAUAAUUGUAUAAAUUUUGCUCGUUGUUAUGAAAAUAGAUCAUUAUUAUUUAUAGAUAUUGAGAUAUUGAAAUAAAUUAUUUUUAAUCUUGCAUAUUCUUUAAGAUUUGCUCUAAGGAGUAUGUGGCCAUCACAUAUCUGACCCAGAUGUUGGGUUCGAGGCA
rnacentral:lncRNA from 1 species